rnacentral:rRNA from 1 species
AUGGGUGUUCCAAAGAAGAGGGGUGGCAUGGGGUUUAGGGACCUUCACAGUUUUAAACUUGCUAUGUUAGCAAAGCAGUGUUGGCGACUACUCCAAAAUCCCGAUUCUUUGUGUGCACGCGUUCUGAGUGCUAUGUAUUAUCCAAAAAGAGACAUACGGAAGGCAGUGCCUAAAAAGGGCUCAUCGUUCACAUGGCAAAGCAUUGUUGUAGGUAUACAAACCUUCAAGAGAGGGUGUAUUUGGCGGGUUGGAUCUGGUUCACACAUUAAUAUCUGGGAUGAUCCUUGGAUUCCCUCUAGUGAGUUAAGAAUAAUCAUCACACCCAAGGGAGGAACUAUGCUGACAAAGGUUGAAGAAUUAAUUAACCCGCACACGGCCAGUGGGAUGUUGAACUCCUUCAGGACAUUAUCUUCCACGUGGAUGUUACUAGAAUUGUACAAAUUCCUUUGCAUGUUGAAGUUGUAG